GCGGGUGUGGCGGAAUGGCAGACGCGCUAGACUUAGGAUCUAGUGUCUUUAUGGCGUGGAGGUUCAAGUCCUCUCACCCGCA
rnacentral:tRNA from 1 species